CCGAAUGUCUGACAUAUCAGA
rnacentral:miRNA from 1 species